AGUUACCUGGUAGAAAGAAAGAUUCUUGAUGGGAUAUCUUUUACUGUACCAGCUGGGAAAAGUGUGGCUGUUGUAGGAACUAGUGGAAGUGGCAAGUCAACCAUUCUUCGAUUGCUCUUCAGGUUCUUUGAUGCUCAUUCAGGAAGUAUCAAGAUUGCUGGUCAAGACAUACGAGAUGCAACAUUGGACAGUCUUCGACGGUCUAUUGGCGUUGAGCAACAAGAUACUGUUAGUUCAACAGACAAUUUUGUGUUCUUUUACUUGCUUAUUUAUGCAUAAACCAAUGAGGAAUACCAAUUGUGCUCUAUGGGCAGGUACUGUUCAAUGAUACAAUAUUUCACAAUAUACAUUAUGGUAGUCUUUCG